rnacentral:lncRNA from 1 species
AAUGGACAGCUGUGGUGCCUCCAGGCAUUCAUCCUCAUUCCAGGCGUGAAGCCGAGGAAGGACAAAAGGUGCUGCAGUCAAAUCCCAGAGACAGUGCAGGAUCCAGAAACAAAGUGCCAGAAGCCGGGAUGCUGACAUAGAGAUGGAAGAAGAGGGAACUACUUGGCAUGAUCCCUGAAAGCAGAGUGGGGCCUUAGACUCAUAUAAUCUGGUGACAGGGAAGAAUGGUGCCUACUCAUAGGGCUACUGUGAGGAUACAUCAGGCAGCGUAAGUAAAGUACUCCCUUCUCUACAAUGGUAGCACAACCAGCUGACUAAAAAUCAGUUCGUUCAUUCAUUCAACUGGAAUGUGAGUAAACAACAAAGACCUUGGGAAAUGUCGACUGUCACGGUCCUUGAUUUUCCUCACUCUCUAUGGUGCUACAGUGGCAAAACAGUGGGUACCCCCACUGCCCAUCAUCCUGGAGCAGAAAUGAGGGGGCCCUUGGAAACGGACCACACAGAGGCUUCCUCUGGGGACCUGGCUGGUGCAGUGUGGCGAGACCAGGAGGUCAGUUCUCAUGGUGGAGGUUGUCAAGCACUGAUGAUGAGUGGUACGGGGGGGUUUUGGCUAAUCAAUCACAUGGUUUUGCUCCCUGAGAUCUGAGCCACUUGACAAAUAGACACAAGGUCAAAAAACACCAGGUUUUCAAGGUGAGCUGGACUGAAGAAUGCAAUGUGGACCUGCCUGUUUCCCCCCACCCAACAAAGUACACCCUAACCCUGAUCAUGACACUAAUUGCAACCCUAACCCUAAUCCUAGCCCACCCUGGCACCCCAUGCAGGGGCUGGCUGGGAGCCCCAAGAAGGAGCACACAGAUCCUGAUGCAGUCUGGAAGAAUAAAGCGAGCCCACCGGAAUGAACACCUGCAUUCUUGCCUGAGUGACAACCUACCAUGAGGACAAGUAAAGAGGAGGAGAGAGAGGCCGGGCACAGUGGCUCACUCCUGCCAUCCCAGCACCUUGGGAGGCUGAGGCAGGUGGAUCACCUGAGGUCAGGAGUUCAAGACCAGCCUGGCCAACAUAGUGAAAC